rnacentral:rRNA from 1 species
UACGUAGGGGGCUAGCGUUGUCCGGAAUCAUUGGGCGUAAAGCGCGUGUAGGCGGCUCGGUAAGUCCGCUGUGAAAGUCGGGGGCUCAACCCUCGGAUGCCGGUGGAUACUGUCGGGCUAGAGUACGGAAGAGGCGAGUGGAAUUCCUGGUGUAGCGGUGAAAUGUGCAGAUAUCAGGAGGAACACCGAUGGCGAAGGCAGGUCUCUGGGCUGACACUGACGCUCAUGCACGAAAGCGUGGGGAGCAAACAGG